AGCGAACGCUGGCGGUAGGCCUAACACAUGCAAGUCGAACGGCAGCACAGUAAGAGCUUGCUCUUACGGGUGGCGAGUGGCGUACGGGUGAGGAAUACAUCGGAAUCUACUUUUUCGUGGGGGAUAACGUAGGGAAACUUACGCUAAUACCGCAUACGACCUACCGGUGAAAGCAGGGGAACUUCGGACCUUGCGCGAAUGAAUGAGCCGAUGUUGGAUUAGCUAGUUGGGGGGGUAAAGGCCCACCAAGGCGACGAUCCGUAGCUGGUCUGAGAGGAUGGUCGGCCACACUGGAACUGAGACACGGUACAGCCUCCUACGAGAGGAAGCAGUGGGGAAUAUUGGACAAUGGGCGCAAGCCUGGUCCAGCCAUACCGAGUGAGUGACGGAGGCCUUCGGGUUGUAAAGCCCUUUUGUUGGGAAAGAAAAGCAGCAGGUUAAUACCCCGCUGUUCUGACGGUACCCAAAGAAUAAGCACCGGCUAACUUCGUG
rnacentral:rRNA from 1 species